GAGUCAGCAGGUCGGUCGUGCCACAGGUAUGUACUGGUCUUGCUGAUUCCUCCCUCUUGACGAGCCGUAAUGCCAUUAAUUUGGUGUUGCGGGGAAUCAGGACUGUUACUUUGAAAAAAUUAGAGUGUUUAAAGCAGGCUUACGCUUGAAUACAUUAGCAUGGAAUAAUGAAAUAGGACGUUCGAUCCUAUUUUGUUGGUUUCUAGGAUCGACGUA
rnacentral:rRNA from 1 species